ACAAUACAACUCCAUAUUCUUAACAAUACAACUCCAUAUUCUUAACAAUACAACUCCAUAUUCUUAACAAUACAACUCCAUAUUAUUUACAAUACAACUCCAUAUUCUUAACAAUACCACUCCAUAUUCUUUACAAUACCACUCCACAUUCUUAACAAUACAACUCCAUAUUCUUUACAAUACAACUCCAUAUUCUUUACAAUACAACUCCAUAUUCUUAACAAUACUAUUCUUAACAAUACCACUCCAUAUUCUUAACAAUACCACUCCAUAUUCUUAACAAUACAACUCCAUAUUCUUUACAAUACCACUCCAUAUUCUUAACAAUACCACUCCAUAUUCUUUACAAUACAAUUCCAUAUUAAUCACAAUACAACUCCAUAUUCUUAACAAUACAACUCCAUAUUCUUAACAAUACAACUCCAUAUUCUUAACAAUACAACUCCAUAUUAUUAACUACAACUCCAUAUUCUUAACAAUACCACUCCAUAUUCUUAACAAUACCACUCCAUAUUUUUAUCAAUACAACUCCAUAUUCUUUACAAUACAACUCCAUAUUCUUAACAAUACAACUCCAUAUUCUUAACUAUUAAACUCCAUAUUCUUUACAAUACAACUCCAUAUUCUUAACAAUACAACUCUAUAUUCUUAACAAUACAACUCCAUAUUCUUAACAAUACCACUCCAUAUUCUUUAAAACUAUUCAACUCCAUAUUCUUUUCAAUACAACUCCAUUUUCUUUCCCAAUAACUUAUACUUCUUCAUAUCAUAAUAUCAGCGUUUAAAAAUACAAACAUUUAAUAUAUUAAAAGUAAUAAAAGCAUUGUAAGAAUCUAUGAACUUAAGUGAAAUUUGAUACACACAAUAUAUAAAUUCGUAUACAGUUCAAUAAAUGCAAAAAUCUUCCUAUAAUGUUACUGAUUGGUAAAAAAAUUAAAUAAUAAGGUUAUACUUCUAAUAACAAGCAAUACAAUUUGUUUUCCUUUUUCCAAAAUUCCUAAAUGGCUAGAAAACCAAGCUUACAAAACACUAAAAUAGAUUUGAUACCUAAUGUUUAUGCACAAGUUAGGGCAAUUUGUCAUUAGUAAACUACUGCGUCUAAAUCCGAUGAAUACAGGCUAAAACGUUUUCAGCUAUUUCACAACUUUUACAAUAUUUUCAAUAAUGGUGUACUGUACUGAUCAUGCCAGUUAAAGAAAUAUAUUAUAUCCUUUAGCAUAUGAAUUAAGCUAUUCAUACAAGGGACAGACAGUAAAAUAGAUAGAACCAACGAACACUAACGUAUUUGAUCAUACAAUGGAUUCAUGAUAGAUUUUGAGAAAAUAAAGAGCCACUAGGAAGCAAAACAUCUUAAAUACGUACAAAGGUACAAAAAACUCUAAACAUAUACAAGGCUUAUAAUUUGGUACGCCAGUCACAUUUUUCGUCUUCAUAAACCUUACAAGUUACACAAAAAUAAACCUAAUUUAAAAGCCAAUUCAAAUACGAAAGGGAAGAGCGUUAUUAACCGAAAAUUCCGAAAAGUAGUAUAUUCUUACAAAAACACAGCAAAGAAACAACAACCCGACCAUAGAAGUAUACAAAGUAACAAAAAAAAUAUUAUUUAACUGCAAUAUAUAGAUUGCUACAUCAUAUAAUCACUGCAAAAUAUGUAUGUAUUUAUUUCAAUUCAAAACUUCAUCACUACAUUACACAUCACAGUCAAAUAUAGAUGGCUAUAUUACAUAAUCACUGCCAAAUAUAAAUGGCUGCAUUACAUAAUCACUGCAAAAUAUGAAUAACUACAUUACAUAAUCACUGCCAAAUAAGAUGGAUACACUACGUAUUCAUUGCCAAAUACAAA
rnacentral:lncRNA from 1 species